GGAAAAUCUAGCUUUGAAUCAAAAGACAAUGACAUUCUCAACCUAUUAGAUUUCUU
rnacentral:ribozyme from 1 species